rnacentral:rRNA from 1 species
AUUGAACGCUGGCGGCAGGCCUAACACAUGCAAGUCGAACGAGAGGCGGACGUAAGAGUAAUGAAUGGGCAACUGACUGGUGGAGAGGGAUACCUACUGGGACCGAUUGCUACAACCGCAUAGCCUCGCAUGUGCCCGGAUGGGAUUAGCUAGUAGGGAGGGUAAAGGCUGACCUAGGCGACGAUCCCUAGCUGGUCUAAGAGGAUGAACAGCCAAACUGGAACUGAGACACGGUCCAGACUCCUACGGGAGGCAGCAGUGGGGAAUAUUGGAGAAUGGGCGCAAGCCGGAUGCAGCCAGGCCGCGUGGAUGAAGAAGGCCUUCGGGUUGUAAAGUACUUUUAGCGGGGAGGCGUUACCCUCAGAAGAAGCACCGGCUAACUUCGUGCCAGCAGCCGCGGUAAUAC